UACGGAGGGUGCGAGCGUUGCUCGGAAUCACUGGGCGUAAAGGGUGCGUAGGCGGGUCUUUAAGUCAGGGGUGAAAUCCUGGAGCUCAACUCCAGAACUGCCUUUGAUACUGAAGAUCUUGAGUUCGGGAGAGGUGAGUGGAACUGCGAGUGUAGAGGUGAAAUUCGUAGAUAUUCGCAAGAACACCAGUGGCGAAGGCGGGUCUCUGGACAGUUCCUGACGCUGAGGCACGAAGGCCAGGGGAGCAAACGGG
rnacentral:rRNA from 1 species